rnacentral:rRNA from 1 species
CCCAUUUCUUUAAGAAAGUAAGAUCCCUGAGAGAUGAUCAGGUAGAUAGGUCAGGAGUGGAAGUACAGUGAUGUAUGGAGCGGACUGAUACUAAUCGAUCGAGGACUUAACCAA